UACGGAGGGUGCAAGCGUUGUCCGGAUUUAUUGGGUUUAAAGGGUGCGUAGGCGGCCGAUUAAGUCUGGGGUGAAAGCCCGUUGCUCAACAACGGAACUGCCCUGGAAACUGGUCGGCUUGAGUACAGACGAGGGUGGCGGAAUGGAUGGUGUAGCGGUGAAAUGCUUAGAGAUGACCCGGAACACCGAUUGCGAAGGUAGCCCACUACGCAAUGAUUGACGCUGAGGCACGAAAGCGUGGGGAUCAAACAGG
rnacentral:rRNA from 1 species